rnacentral:lncRNA from 1 species
CGGGGAGCCACAGGGCAGACACGGCCCCCAAGCACGCCCUCCACGCACACCAGGUGCCACCCUGCGGGAAGUUUGGGCAGCACGGAGUCCGCCAGCAUUCUACAGGAAGUUUGGGGGAGCACAAGGUUGCCUGCAGAAGGCCAUCAGAAGGGGGUAGGUGAACCCAGUCUGACAGUUGCUGCUUGGGUUUUGACGUCGUUGGACUAGUAGCUGAGGAGAGGCACCACCCCCUUUUAGGUGUCUGAAGGGAGUAUUUACUCCAUCCUGCUGUGGGCUAGAACAUGAAGAAAUCACAGAACUGGUUCUGCCAACAUGAAAGUGUCUCUGCCACAUUUUGGUGAUUCAGUCGCAUUAACUCUCCUACAGUAAUAGAGCCCCUGGGGUAGGCUCUGCUCGUGUGCACAUACAUAAUAACCUUCACAGAUCCUAAGGUAAACGUUCCUUGCAGGGCCCUCCUG